rnacentral:rRNA from 1 species
UACAGAGGGUGCGAGCGUUAAUCGGAUUUACUGGGCGUAAAGCGUACGUAGGCGGCUUUUUAAGUCGGAUGUGAAAUCCCUGAGCUUAACUUAGGAAUUGCAUUCGAUACUGGGAAGCUAGAGUAUGGGAGAGGAUGGUAGAAUUCCAGGUGUAGCGGUGAAAUGCGUAGAGAUCUGGAGGAAUACCGAUGGCGAAGGCAGCCUGCUGGGCCUAAAGACUGACGCUGAGGUGCGAAAGCGUGGGGAGCGAACAGG